AACGAACGCUGGCGGCAGGCUUAACACAUGCAAGUCGAGCGCCCCGCAAGGGGAGCGGCAGACGGGUGAGUAACGCGUGGGAAUCUACCCAUCUCUACGGAACAACUCCGGGAAACUGGAGCUAAUACCGUAUACGCCCUACGGGGGAAAGAUUUAUCGGAGAUGGAUGAGCCCGCGUUGGAUUAGCUAGUUGGUGGGGUAAUGGCCUACCAAGGCGACGAUCCAUAGCUGGUCUGAGAGGAUGAUCAGCCACACUGGGACUGAGACACGGCCCAGACUCCUACGGGAGGCAGCAGUGGGGAAUAUUGGACAAUGGGCGAAAGCCUGAUCCAGCCAUGCCGCGUGAGUGAUGAAGGCCCUAGGGUUGUAAAGCUCUUUCACCGGUGAAGAUAAUGACGGUAACCGGAGAAGAAGCCCCGGCUAACUUCGUGCCAGCCGCCGCAGUAAAAC
rnacentral:rRNA from 1 species